rnacentral:rRNA from 1 species
AUUGAACGCUGGCGGCAGGCUUAACACAUGCAAGUCGAGCGGAGAAAGGUUGCUUUGGUAACUGACCUAGCGGCGGACGGGUGAGUAAUGCUUAGGAAUCUGCCUAUUAGUGGGGGACAACAUUCCGAAAGGAAUGCUAAUACCGCAUACGCCCUACGGGGGAAAGCAGGGGAUCUUCGGACCUUGCGCUAAUAGAUGAGCCUAAGUCGGAUUAGCUAGUUGGUGGGGUAAAGGCCUACCAAGGCGACGAUCUGUAGCUGGUCUGAGAGGAUGAUCCGCCACACUGGGACUGAGACACGGCCCAGACUCCUACGGGAGGCAGCAGUGGGGAAUAUUGGACAAUGGGCGGAAGCCUGAUCCAGCCAUGCCGCGUGUGUGAAGAAGGCCUUUUGGUUGUAAAGCACUUUAAGCGAGGAGGAGGCUCCUUUAGUUAAUACCUAAAGAGAGUGGACGUUACUCGCAGAAUAAGCACCGGCUAACUCUGUGCCAGCAGCCGCGGUAAAAC